rnacentral:rRNA from 1 species
UACGGAGGGUGCGAGCGUUGUCCGGAAUCACUGGGCGUAAAGGGCGCGUAGGCGGCCUGAUAAGUAGGGGGUGAAAUCCUGCGGCUUAACCGCAGGGCUGCCUUCUAAACUGUCAGGCUAGAGCACAGUAGAGGCAGGUGGAAUUCCCGGUGUAGCGGUGGAAUGCGUAGAGAUCGGGAGGAACACCAGUGGCGAAGGCGGUUGCCUGGAGCUUUGGCUGACGCUGAG